rnacentral:rRNA from 1 species
UAGUAUGGGGAUCUGCCCGAUAGAGGGGGAUAACUACUGGAAACGGUGGCUAAUACCGCAUAAUGUCUACGGACCAAAGCAGGGGCUCUUCGGACCUUGCACUAUCGGAUGAACCCAUAUGGGAUUAGCUAGUAGGUGGUGUAAAGGCUCACCUAGGCGACGAUCUCUAGCUGGUCUGAGAGGAUGAUCAGCCACACUGGGACUGAGACACGGCCCAG